rnacentral:tRNA from 1 species
AUGUCGAUGCCGGACUGGGCCGCUACGUGCCUUGCACGCACGAAGCGAACGCGGUUCUCGCCGCGAUCGGUUUU